AAAAGGCGGCGUAAGCUGUCGCUAAAGGAUGGACCCGCGGUGCAUUAGCUAGUUGGUAAGGUAACGGCUUACCAAGGCGACGAUGCAUAGCCGAGUUGAGAGACUGAUCGGCCACAUUGGGACUGAGACACGGCCCAAACUCCUACGGGAGGCAGCAGUAGGGAAUCUUCCACAAUGGGCGAAAGCCUGAUGGAGCAACGCCGCGCGAGUGAAGAAGGUUUUCGGAUCGUAAAGCUCUGUUGUUGGUGAAGAAGGAUAGAGGUAGUAACUGGCCCCUAUUUGACGGUAAUCAACCAGAAAGUCACGGCUAACUACGUGCCAGCAGCCGCGGUAAUACGUAGGUGGCAAGCGUUGUCCGGAUUUAUUGGGCGUAAAGCGAGCGCAGGCGGAAAGAUAAGUCUGAUGUGAAAGCCCCCGGCUUAACCGAGGAAUUGCAUCGGAAACUGUGUUUCUUGAGUGCAGAAGAGGAGAGUGGAACUCCAUGUGUAGCGGUGGAAUGCGUAGAUAUAUGGAAGAACACCAGUGGCGAAGGCGGCUCUCUGGUCUGUAACUGACGCUGAGGCUCGAAAGCAUGGGUAGCGAACAGGAUUAGAUACCCUGGUAGUCCAUGCCGUAAACGAUGAGUGCUAAGUGUUGGGAGGUUUCCGCCUCUCA
rnacentral:rRNA from 1 species